rnacentral:rRNA from 1 species
AGGGUGUAAACGCUGCAGACUUGGUGUUGGGAACCCUUCGGGGGUGCUCAGUGCCGGAGAGAAGUUGUUAAGUCUGCUACUUGGGGAGUACGUCCGCAAGGAUGAAACUUAAAGGAAUUGGCGGGGGAGCACCGCAACGGGAGGAGCGUGCGGUUUAAUUGGAUUCAACGCCGAAAAACUCACCGGAUAGGACAGACAUAUGAUAGUCGGGCUGAAGACUCUACUUGAUGAUCUGAGAGGAGGUGCAUGGCGUCAGUGACU